rnacentral:rRNA from 1 species
UACGAGGGGGGCAAGCGUUGUUCGGAAUUAUUGGGCGUAAAGGGCGCGUAGGCGGUGCGGUAAGUCACCUGUGAAAUCUCUUGGCUCAACUGGGAGCUUGCAGGCGAAACUGCCGUGCUGGAGUGUGGGAGAGGUGCGUGGAAUUCCUGGUGUAGCGGUGAAAUGCGUAGAUAUCAGGAGGAACACCUGUGGCGAAAGCGGCGCACUGGACCACAACUGACGCUGAGGCGCGAAAGCUAGGGGAGCAAACAGG